UUAGGGUCAGGGCCCGGGGCCCAGGGUUAGGGUGAUUUCCAGGAAGUGACCUCACAACGACUCAAGCUACCACUUACUGUUGAUUGUGAUGAAAUGCCAGCUGAGGCACACGCCUUGGGAGCUAAGUGGUUGCUGCCCUUGACUACUAUGAAGACUGGUGUGGGAAGGGUCGCUUUGGAUGCACUUGAGCAGGGGUCCCCAACCCCUGAGCCAUGGAGCCGUAAGGAGCCACACAGCAGGUGGGACCAUCCAGUUUCAGGAAAACAAGCUUAACACGCCCACUGAUUCUACAUUAUGCUCCUACCUCCCGGCAGCCUCGCCAGGCCCAGAACUCUCUCCAGUCAGCCUCUACAGACCAAGCUCAUGACUCACAAUGGCCUAUUUAGGCCCAUACCCUACCUCACGGCAGUCUCCGCAGAUGAGCCUACUGCCUCACAACAGCCUCCACAGGCACAGCUCCGUCGUUACAAUGGCCUCUUUAGACCCAGCUCCUGCCUCCCAGCCUUCUCUCCAGGCCCUGAACUUUCUCCGUGGGACCAUCCAGUUUCAGGAAAACAAGCUUAACACGCCCACUGAUUCUACAUUAUGCUCCUACCUCCCGGCAGCCUCGCCAGGCCCAGAACUCUCUCCAGUCAGCCUCUACAGACCAAGCUCAUGACUCACAAUGGCCUAUUUAGGCCCAUACCCUACCUCAUGGCAGUCUCCGCAGAUGAGCCUACUGCCUCACAACAGCCUCCACAGGCACAGCUCCGUCGUUACAAUGGCCUCUUUAGACCCAGCUCCUGCCUCCCAGCCUUCUCUCCAGGCCCUGAACUUUCUCCGGUCUCCCUCUGUUGUCCAAGGCUGGAGUGUAGUAGUGCUAUCACAGCUGACCACAGCCUCAACCUUCCAGGCUGAAGCGAUCCUCCCACCUCAACCUCCCACGUGGCUGAGACUACAGGUGCUUGCCACUAUGCCCAACUAAUAUUUGGAAUUUUCGUAUACGUGGAUUCCAGAGGGGUGACAGCGAAACGUGAGUGGGACCAUCCAGUUUCAGGAAAACAAGCUUAACACACCCACUGAUUCUACAUUAUGCUCCUACCUCCCGGCAGCCUCGCCAGGCCCAGAACUCUCUCCAGUCAGCCUCUACAGACCAAGCUCAUGACUCACAAUGGCCUAUUUAGGCCCAUACCCUACCUCACGGCAGUCUCCGCAGAUGAGCCUACUGCCUCACAACAGCCUCCACAGGCACAGCUCCGUCGUUACAAUGGCCUCUUUAGACCCAGCUCCUGCCUCCCAGCCUUCUCUCCAGGCCCUGAACUUUCUCCGUGGGACCAUCCAGUUUCAGGAAAACAAGCUUAACACGCCCACUGAUUCUACAUUAUGCUCCUACCUCCCGGCAGCCUCGCCAGGCCCAGAACUCUCUCCAGUCAGCCUCUACAGACCAAGCUCAUGACUCACAAUGGCCUAUUUAGGCCCAUACCCUACCUCACGGCAGUCUCCGCAGAUGAGCCUACUGCCUCACAACAGCCUCCACAGGCACAGCUCCGUCGUUACAAUGGCCUCUUUAGACCCAGCUCCUGCCUCCCAGCCUUCUCUCCAGGCCCUGAAGUUUCUCCGUGGGACCAUCCAGUUUCAGGAAAACAAGCUUAACACGCCCACUGAUUCUACAUUAUGCUCCUACCUCCCGGCAGCCUCGCCAGGCCCAGAACUCUCUCCAGUCAGCCUCUACAGACCAAGCUCAUGACUCACAAUGGCCUAUUUAGGCCCAUACCCUACCUCACGGCAGUCUCCGCAGAUGAGCCUACUGCCUCACAACAGCCUCCACAGGCACAGCUCCGUCGUUACAAUGGCCUCUUUAGACCCAGCUCCUGCCUCCCAGCCUUCUCUCCAGGCCCUGAAGUUUCUCCGUGGGACCAUCCAGUUUCAGGAAAACAAGCUUAACACGCCCACUGAUUCUACAUUAUGCUCCUACCUCCCGGCAGCCUCGCCAGGCCCAGAACUCUCUCCAGUCAGCCUCUACAGACCAAGCUCAUGACUCACAAUGGCCUAUUUAGGCCCAUACCCUACCUCACGGCAGUCUCCGCAGAUGAGCCUACUGCCUCACAACAGCCUCCACAGGCACAGCUCCAUCGUUACAAUGGCCUCUUUAGACCCAGCUCCUGCCUCCCAGCCUUCUCUCCAGGCCCUGAAGUUUCUCCGUGGGACCAUCCAGUUUCAGGAAAACAAGCUUAACACGCCCACUGAUUCUACAUUAUGCUCCUACCUCCCGGCAGCCUCGCCAGGCCCAGAACUCUCUCCAGUCAGCCUCUACAGACCAAGCUCAUGACUCACAAUGGCCUAUUUAGGCCCAUACCCUACCUCACGGCAGUCUCCGCAGAUGAGCCUACUGCCUCACAACAGCCUCCACAGGCACAGCUCCGUCGUUACAAUGGUCUCUUUAGACCCAGCUCCUGCCUCCCAGCCUUCUCUCCAGGCCCUGAAGUUUCUCCGUGGGACCAUCCAGUUUCAGGAAAACAAGCUUAACACGCCCACUGAUUCUACAUUAUGCUCCUACCUCCCGGCAGCCUUGCCAGGCCCAGAACUCUCUCCAGUCAGCCUCUACAGACCAAGCUCAUGACUCACAAUGGCCUAUUUAGGCCCAUACCCUACCUCACGGCAGUCUCCGCAGAUGAGCCUACUGCCUCACAACAGCCUCCACAGGCACAGCUCCGUCGUUACAAUGGCCUCUUUAGACCCAGCUCCUGCCUCCCAGCCUUCUCUCCAGGCCCUGAAGUUUCUCCGGUCUCCCUCUGUUGUCCGAGGCUGGAGGGUAGUAGUGCUAUCGCAGCUGACUGCAGCCUCAACCUUCCAGGCUGAAGCGAUCCUCCCAUCUCAACCUCCCACGUGGCUGAGACUACAGGUGCUUGCCACUACGCCCAACUAAUAUUUGGUAUUUUCGUACACGUGGAUUCCAGAGGGGUGACAGCGAAACGUGGGACCAUCCAGUUUCAGGAAAACAAGCUUAACACGCCCACUGAUUCUACAUUAUGAUUCUUCAGGCCCAGCAUCUGCCUCACUGUGGACCCCCCAAGCCAAGCUCCCAACCUUUCAGCAGCUUCUACACACCCAGCUCCCGCCUGCCAGUGGCCUCUUCAGGCCCAUGGGGCUCAUUCCUCACAACAGCCUUUCCAGUCCCAGUUUUUCCCUUCCGGCGGCCUCUCCGGGCUGAGAACCUCCUCAAGUCGGCCUCUCCAGACUCACUUGCACCCUCCAGGCGUCCUCUCCGGGCCAAGCUCCUCUUCCUGGCUGCGUCUCCAGGCCUGACUCCUGCCUCUCAACAACCUCUUUGGACUCAGUGCCUACCCAUCUCCUGGCGUCCUUGGUCGGCCCACAGCUUCCUCAAGCCAAGCUCCCCAGGCCCAGGUCAGGCCUCACGGUGCCCCCUCCACGAUGAGCUCCUGCCCUCCAAUGGCACCUGCAGGACCCAAAUGGUCUCCGGUCGGUGGGCUCCUCCACGCCAAGCUUGGGCCUCCCGGUGACCUCUGCAGGCCCAAGUUGUCCUGAAGUCGGCAUCUCCCAGCCAUGCCUCCCAGCAAGUAAGCAAGCUCUUUUGGCUCAACUCCUGCCCAGCUCCCAACCGCCUUUGUAGGUCCCGAACUUUCUCCAGCCAAGUUCUUUGGGCCUCAUUCCUGCUGCCCGGUGGCCUGUACGGGCCCAGCAAUGGUUGGAGAACGGCCUCUGCAGGUCCCGCUCUUGCCUCCCAGGGGCCUCUCCAGGCCCAGCUCUUGCCCCCACGGCGGCCACCUGGGGCCAAGUCCCUGCCUGCCUCCCAGCAGC